ACGAGCCUGACCUCCACUUUCUAACUCUGUGCAUUUGUUGGCUUGAGUCGGGUGAGACGGUACGUUCGCUUGCGGACGAACCGGCGAAACGACUCUGGCGGCUUCACUUUAUAAACACCAGUCAAAGUAUGUAACGAAAUAUCGAAAUAAAAAAAAAACUUUCAACAACGGAUCUCUUGGCUCUCGCAUCGAUGAAGAACGCAGCGAAAUGUGAUAAGUAAUGUGAAUUGCAGAAUUCAGUGAAUCAUCGAAUCUUUGAACGCACCUUGCGCUCCCUAGUAUUCUGGGGAGCAUGUCUGUUUGAGUGUCAUGAACUCUUCAACCCAUCAGUUUCUUGUAGACUGACUGGAGCUUGGAUUUUGAACGUUGCUGGUCCCUCGUUGGACCUUAGCUCGUUCGUAAUACAUUAGCCGCUCUAAUUCGAAUUCGGAUUGACUCAGUGUAAUAGACUAUUCGCUGAGGACACUCUUCGGAGUGGCCGAACGAUCGAUACUUGAGCAGCUUCAAACUCUUGUAGUCAACUUUAGAUUAGACCUCAGAUCAGGCAGGAUUACCCGCUGAACUUAAGCAUAUCAAU
rnacentral:rRNA from 1 species